UGGGGAAUAUUGGACAAUGGGCGCAAGCCUGAUCCAGCCAUGCCGCGUGAGUGAUGAAGGCCCUAGGGUUGUAAAGCUCUUUCACCGGUGAAGAUAAUGACGGUAACCGGAGAAGAAGCCCCGGCUAACUUCGUGCCAGCAGCCGCGGUAAUACGAAGGGGGCUAGCGUUGUUCGGAUUUACUGGGCGUAAAGCGCAAGUAGGCGGAAUUUUAAGUCAGGGGUGAAAUCCCGGGGCUCAACCCCGGAACUGCCUUUGAUACUGGAAGUCUUGAAGAUGGUAGAGGUGAGUGGAAUUCCGAGUGUAGAGGUGAAAUUCGUAGAUAUUCGGAGGAACACCAGUGGCGAAGGCGGCUAACUGGACCAUUACUGACGCUGAGGUGCGAAAGCGUGGGGAGCAAACAGG
rnacentral:rRNA from 1 species